rnacentral:rRNA from 1 species
GAUUAUGGCUCAGAUUGAACGCUGGCGGCAGGCUUAACACAUGCAAGUCGAACGGUAACAUAAAGAAGCUUGCUUCUUUGAUGACGAGUGGCGGACGGGUGAGUAAUGCUUGGGAAUCUAGCUUAUGGAGGGGGAUAACUACGGGAAACUGUAGCUAAUACCGCGUAGUAUCGAGAGAUGAAAGUGUGGGACCUUCGGGCCACAUGCCAUAGGAUGAGCCCAAGUGGGAUUAGGUAGUUGG